UUCCGGUUGAUCCUGCCGGCGGUCACCGCUAUUGGGGUUCGAUUAAGACAUGCGAGUCGAGAGUCUUCGGGACUCGGCGGACUGCUCAGUAACACGUAGAUAACCUGCCCUCAGGAGGAGGAUAAUCUCGGGAAACUGAGGCUAAUACUCCAUAGGUCAUGGAUGCUGGAAUGCUCCAUGGCUGAAAGCUCCGGCGCCUGAGGAUGGGUCUGCGGCCUAUCAGGUAGUAGUUGGGGUAACGGCCCAACUAGCCUAAAACGGGUACGGGCCUUGAGCGAGGAAGCCCGGAGAUGGACUCUGAGACACGAGUCCAGGCCCUACGGGGCGCAGCAGUCGCGAAAACUUCACACUGCGGGAAACCGUGAUGAGGGAACCCAAGUGCCCAGGCGUUAGUCUGGGCUGUUCACAUGCCUAAAAAGCAUGUGAAGUAAGGGCUGGGUAAGACCGGUGCCAGCCGCCGCGGUAAUACCGGCAGCCCAAGUGGUGAUCCCUAUUAUUGAGCCUAAAACGUCCGUAGCCGGCCCGGCAAAUCUCUGGGCAAAUCGGGCAGCUUAACUGUUCGAAUUCUGGAGAGACUACCGGGCUUGAGACCGGGAGAGGCCAGAGGUACGUCAGGGGUAGGGGUAAAAUCCUUUAAUCCUUGACGGA
rnacentral:rRNA from 1 species